UGGGGAAUCUUGCGCAAUGCGCGAAAGCGUGACGCAGCAACGCCGCGUGGGGGAAGAAGGCCUUCGGGUUGUAAACCCCUUUCAGGAGGGACGAAGGUAGGGCGGUGAACAGCCGUCCCUACUGACGGUACCUCCAGAAGAAGCCCCGGCUAACUACGUGCCAGCAGCCGCGGUAAUACGUAGGGGGCAAGCGUUGUCCGGAAUCAUUGGGCGUAAAGCGCGCGUAGGCGGCCCGGUAAGUCCGCUGUAAAAGUCCAGGGCUCAACCCUGGAAAGCCGGUGGAUACUGUCGGGCUAGAGUCCGGAAGAGGCGAGUGGAAUUCCUGGUGUAGCGGUGGAAUGCGCAGAUAUCAGGAGGAACACCGAUGGCGAAGGCAGCUCGCUGGGACGGUACUGACGCUGAGGCGCGAAAGCGUGGGGAGCGAACAGGAUUAGAUACCCUGGUAGUCCACGCCGUAAACGAUGGGCACGUAGGUGUGGGAGGUGUCGACUCCUCCCGUGCCGUCGCUAACGCAUUAA
rnacentral:rRNA from 1 species